UACGAAGGGGGCUAGCGUUGCUCGGACUUACUGGGCGUAAAGGGCGCGUAGGCGGACAGUUUAGUCGGGGGUGAAAGCCCGGGGCUCAACCCCGGAACUGCCUUCGAUACUGGCUGUCUUGAGUACGGGAGAGGUGUGUGGAACUCCGAGUGUAGAGGUGAAAUUCGUAGAUAUUGGGAAGAACACCGGUGGCGAAGGCGGCGACCUGGUCCGUGACUGACGCUGAGGCGCGAAAGCGUGGGGAGCAAACAGG
rnacentral:rRNA from 1 species